rnacentral:tRNA from 1 species
GGAAGCGGAUAGUGGGCUGGUGCUCCUCGUUGACUUCAAAUCAAUUGGCGCCCCCAAUAAGGGUGAGGUGGGUUCGAUUCCCAUACGCUUCCGCCA